GUCCCUGUAGUGCAAUGGAUAACACUUUGGACUUCUAAUCCAAAAGUCGUGGAGUUCGAAUUCCACCUGGGAUG
rnacentral:tRNA from 1 species